ensembl:lncRNA
CAUUAGAUAAGGCUUCACGUGGAAAUGCUACCAAGUUUAGGGGGCUAGGGAGUUUACUUGACAAUGCAGGCAUACAAGUAAUAUUUGCAGGUAUUCCUACAGUGGCAGGGAUAGACAAUGCAAUAACCAGGAAAACCCAUCGCAUAAACACAUGGCUGAGAGGCUGGUGCAAGCACAAGAACCUCAGGUUCUUUGGUCAUGGGGCGGUCUACUCGGCCCCUGGCCUGAGGUCUGCAGAUGGGUAUCACCUGUCUCAAAGGGGGAAACGGAUCCUUGCCCAGGAGCUGGCAGGACUAGUAGAGAGGGCUGUAAACUAGACAUGAGGGGGGAAGGGGAUAAAACCAGGCCUGCUAGAGGUGAGCCUGGGGGAGCGAUAAUAGGAUUAGGGGUGAGGAGAGAGGCCCAGCUAAAGUGUGUCUAUACCAAUGCACGCAGCACGGGCAACAAACAAGAAGAGUUAGAAGCCAUUGUGCAGCAGGCAAACUAUGACCUAGUUGCCAUUACAGAAACGUGGAGGGACCACGACUGGAGUGCUGCAAUGGAUGGCUACAAACUCUUCAGGAAGGAUAGGCAGGGAAGGAGGGGUGGUGGAGUGGCUCUCUACGUUAAAGAGUGCAUUGAGGUUACUGAACUUAUGACUGGGGAAAAGAAGGUUGAAUCCUUAUGGGUUAAGAUCAGGGGAAGAGCCGACAAGGCAGACAUCCUGGUGGGCGUCUGUUAGAGACCGCCAAACCAGGAUGAAGAGACAGAUGAGGUGUUGUGUGAGCAGCUGGUGGAAGCUGCGCGAUCCCCGGCCCUUGUCCUCAUGGGGGACUUCAACUUUCCUGACAUAUGCUGGGAAUACAAGUUAGCACAGAAGAAGCAGUCUAGGAGGUUUCUGGAAUGUAUGGAGGACAACUUCUUGAUGCAGAUGAUAAGAGAACCUACGAGAGGAGCUGCCCCGUUAGACCUGCUGUUCACAAACAGAGAAGGUCUGGUGGGAGAUGUAGAGGUUGGGGGCUGUCUUGGGCAGAGUGACCACGACAUGGUAGAGUUCUCGAUUCUUGGUUGAGGCACGAGGGGGAACAGCAGAACUGCUACCUUGGACUUCCAGAGGGCAGACUUUGAAUUGUUCAGGAGACUAGUAGGGAGAGUCCCCUGGGGCUCAGUCUUAGAGAGAAAAGGGGUCCAAGAUGGCUGGUUGCUCUUUAAGAAGGAGGUCUUCAAGGCGCAGGAGCAGGCUGUCCCCCUGAGCCGCAAAAUGAGCCGACGCGGAUGAAUAGGGAACUAUUCUUGAGGCUCCAGGAGAAAAAGAGAAUCCACCUCCUGUGGAAGAAGGGACGGGCAACCCGGAAAGAAUACCAAGAAGUUGUUAAGAUGUGCAGGGAGAAAAUCAGAAAGGCUAAAGCCCAGCUUGAACUCAACCUGGCUGCUGGGGUAAAAGG